rnacentral:rRNA from 1 species
UAGUCAUAUGCUUGUCUCAAAGAUUAAGCCAUGCAUGUCUAAGUACAAGCUUUUACACAGUGAAACCGCGAAUGGCUCAUUAGAUCAGUUAAUAUUUAUUAGAUCGUACAAUCCUACUUGGAUAACUGUGGUAAUUCUAGAGCUAAUACAUGCGUGCAAGCCCUGACCUCCGGGGAAGGGCGCUUUUAUUAGAUCAAAACCAAUGCCGCCUUCGGGCGGGCCACCUUUGGUGACUCUGGAUAACUUUGUGCCGAUCGCAUGGCCCAGUGCCGGCGACGUAUCUUUCAAAUGUCUGCCCUAUCAAGUUUCGAUGGUACUUGAUAUGACUACCAUGCUUGUAACGGGUAACGGGGAAUCAGGGUUCGAUUCCGGAGAGGGAGCCUGAGAAACGGCUACCACAUCUAAGGAAGGCAGCAGGCGCGCAAAUUACCCACUCCUAGAACGGGGAGGUAGUGACAAGAAAUAACAAUACGGGACUCUAUCGAGGCCCCGUAAUUGGAAUGAGUACACUUUAAAUCCUUUAACGAGGAUCUAUUGGAGGGCAAGUCUGGUGCCAGCAGCCGCGGUAAUUC